rnacentral:rRNA from 1 species
UACGAAGGGGGCUAGCGUUGCUCGGAAUCACUGGGCGUAAAGGGUGCGUAGGCGGGUCUUUUAAGUCAGGGGUGAAAUCCUGGAGCUCAACUCCAGAACUGCCUUUGAUACUGAAGAUCUUGAGUUCGGGAGAGGUGAGUGGAACUGCGAGUGUAGAGGUGAAAUUCGCAGAUAUUCGCAAGAACACCAGUGGCGAAGGCGGCUCACUGGCUCGAUACUGACGCUGAGGCACGAAAGCGUGGGGAGCAAACAGG